CUCCUGGAAACGGGUGGUAAUGCCGGAUGUUCCACAUGAGCGCAUGCGAGUGUGGGAAAGGCUUUUUGCGGCAUGGGAUGGGGUCGCGUCCUAUCAGCUUGUUGGUGGGGUAACGGCCUACCAAGGCGUUGACGGGUAGCCGGCCUGAGAGGGCGACCGGCCACAUUGGGACUGAGAUACGGCCCAGACUCCUACGGGAGGCAGCAGUGGGGAAUAUUGCACAAUGGGCGCAAGCCUGAUGCAGCGACGCCGCGUGCGGGAUGGAGGCCUUCGGGUUGUAAACCGCUUUUGUUCAAGGGCAAGGCACGGUCUUCGGCCGUGUUGAGUGGAUUGUUCGAAUAAGCACCGGCUAACUACGUGCCAGCAGCCGCGGUAAUACGUAGGGUGCAAGCGUUAUCCGGAUUUAUUGGGCGUAAAGGGCUCGUAGGCGGUUCGUCGCGUCCGGUGUGAAAGUCCAUCGCUUAACGGUGGAUCCGCGCCGGGUACGGGCGGGCUGGAGUGCGGUAGGGGAGACUGGAAUUCCCGGUGUAACGGUGGAAUGUGUAGAUAUCGGGAAGAACACC
rnacentral:rRNA from 1 species